CGAAGAACCUUACCAGGUCUUGACAUCCCGCUGACCGGCCUAGAGAUAGGUCUUUCCCUUCGGGGACAGCGGUGACAGGUGGUGCAUGGUUGUCGUCAGCUCGUGUCGUGAGAUGUUGGGUUAAGUCCCGCAACGAGCGCAACCCUUGAUCUUAGUUGCCAGCAUUUGGUUGGGCACUCUAAGGUGACUGCCGGUGAUAAACCGGAGGAAGGUGGGGAUGACGUCAAAUCAUCAUGCCCCUUAUGACCUGGGCUACACACGUGCUACAAUGGACGGUACAGAGGGUCGCAACCCCGCGAGGGUGAGCUAAUCCCAUAAAACCGUUCUCAGUUCGGAUUGUAGGCUGCAACUCGCCUACAUGAAGCCGGAAUCGCUAGUAAUCGUGGAUCAGCAUGCCACGGUGAAUACGUUCCCGGGCCUUGUACACACCGCCCGUCACACCACGAGAGUUUGUAACACCCGAAGUCGGUGGGGUAACCCUUACGGGAGCCAGCCGCCGAAGGUGGGACAGAUGAUUGGGGUGAAGUCGUAACAAGGUAAGCGUACGUGU
rnacentral:rRNA from 1 species